rnacentral:rRNA from 1 species
CCUACGGGAGGCAGCAGUGAGGAAUAUUGGUCAAUGGACGAGAGUCUGAACCAGCCAAGUAGCGUGAAGGAUGACUGCCCUAUGGGUUGUAAACUUCUUUUAUAUGGGAAUAAAAUGUUCCACGUGUGGGAUUUUGUAUGUACCAUAUGAAUAAGGAUCGACUAACUCCGUGCCAGCAGCCGCGGUAAUACGGAGGAUCCGAGCGUUAUCCGGAUUUAUUGGGUUUAAAGGGAGCGUAGGUGGAUAGUUAAGUCAGUUGUGAAAGUUUGCGGCUCAACCGUAAAAUUGCAGUUGAAACUGGCAGUCUUGAGUACAGUAGAGGUGGGCGGAAUUCGUGGUGUAGCGGUGAAAUGCUUAGAUAUCACGAAGAACUCCGAUUGCGAAGGCAGCUCACUGGACUGCAACUGACACUGAGGCUCGAAAGUGUGGGUAGCAAACAGGAUUAGAUACCCCGGUAGUC